rnacentral:ncRNA from 1 species
GAAAAGGCAAACCUGUCGAAAGGCAGGGACGCAAAGCCUCGGGCCUAAAGGACCAACUCCCACGGCGGCCGGGUUGCCGAA